rnacentral:rRNA from 1 species
CUACCCUUGACAUGCCAGGGAGCCCGAUGAGAGUUGGGUGUGCCCGAAAGGGAACCUGGACACAGGUGCUGCAUGGCUGUCGUCAGCUCGUGUCGUGAGAUGUUGGGUUAAGUCCCGCAACGAGCGCAACCCUUGUCACUAGUUGCUACGGAUAGGGCACUCUAGUGAGACUGCCGGUGACAAACCGGAGGAAGGUGGGGAUGACGUCAAGUCCUCGGGGCCCUUAUGGGUAGGGCCUCACACGUCAUACAAUGGCGCAUACAGAGGGUUGCCAACCCGCGAGGGGGAGCCAAUCCCAGAAAGUGCGUCGUAGUCCGGAUUGUUCUCUGCAACUCGAGAGCAUGAAGUCGGAAUCGCUAGUAAUCGCGGAUCAGCAUGCCGCGGUGAAUACGUUCCC